rnacentral:tRNA from 1 species
CGUUAGCUCAGUCGGUAGAGCACCGGACUUUUAAUCCGGGUGUCGCGAGUUCAAGUCUCGCAC